rnacentral:rRNA from 1 species
UACGUAGGGUGCGAGCGUUGUCCGGAAUUAUUGGGCGUAAAGAGCUUGUAGGCGGUUUGUCGCGUCUGCUGUGAAAUCUCAAGGCUCAACCUUGAGCCUGCAGUGGGUACGGGCAGACUAGAGUGUGGUAGGGGAGACUGGAAUUCCUGGUGUAGCGGUGAAAUGCGCAGAUAUCAGGAGGAACACCGGUGGGCGAAAGGCGG